rnacentral:rRNA from 1 species
GACGAACGCUGGCGGCGUGCCUAAUACAUGCAAGUCGAGCGGACCGAAUGGAAGCUUGCUUUCAUUCGGUUAGCGGCGGACGGGUGAGUAACACGUGGGUAACCUGCCCGUAAGACCGGGAUAACUCCGGGAAACCGGUGCUAAUACCGGAUAACACCGAAGACCGCAUGGUCUUCGGUUGAAAGGUGGCUUCGGCUACCACUUACGUGUUGGCCCGCGGCGCAUUAGCUAGUUGGUGAGGUAACGGCUCACCAAGGCGACGAUGCGUAGCCGGCCUGAGAGGGUGACCGGCCACACUGGGACUGAGACACGGCCCAGACUCCUACGGGAGGCAGCAGUAGGGAAUCUUCCGCAAUGGACGAAAGUCUGACGGAGCGACGCCGCGUGAGCGAAGAAGGUCUUCGGAUCGUAAAGCUCUGUUGUUAGGGACGAAGAAGUACGGUUCGAAUAGGGCGGUAAGGUGACGGUACCUAACGAGAAAGCCCCGGCUAACUACGUG